rnacentral:rRNA from 1 species
AGUGAACGCUGGCGGUAGGCCUAACACAUGCAAGUCGAACGGCAGCACAGUAAGAGCUUGCUCUUACGGGUGGCGAGUGGCGGACGGGUGAGGAAUACAUCGGAAUCUACUUUUUCGUGGGGUAUAACGUAGGGAAACUUACGCUAAUACCGCAUACGACCUACGGGUGAAAGCAGGGGAUCUUCGGACCUUGCGCGAUUGAAUGAGCCGAUGUCGGAUUAGCUAGUUGGCGGGGUAAAGGCCCACCAAGGCGACGAUCCGUAGCUGGUCUGAGAGGAUGAUCAGCCACACUGGAACUGAGACACGGUCCAAACUCCUACGGGAGGCAGCAGUGGGGAAUAUUGGACAAGGGGCGCAAGCCUGAUCCAGCCAUACCGCGUGGGUGAAGAAGGCCUUCGGGUUGUAAGCCCUUUUGUUGGGAAAGAAAAGCAGCAGGUUAAUACCCCGCUGUUCUGACGGUACCCAAAGAAUAAGCACCGGCUAACUUCGUG